GAAAAUUUUCUUUCAUUGAUGUGUUGUAAUGUUAAAUACAAUAAACAAGUUCUGAACCCUAGCCCCCUACAAACCCUUAAAUGGGGAGAAACAUUGUACAUUCAUUUCUUACAAAGCAUAAAUGGGCAACGAGACUCAUCACCGUUUCAGUUCUAAACAAACAGGCAGGAGAACUUGAGGCAGUAUCAAUGCACCUUGAAGAUGUUGAACAAAGUGGAAUGAACAUCUUUAAUCUCUUUCACAAAAUAAAUAAUCCUCAGGGAUGUCAACAGUUGUAAGAAAUCCCCAUAUUCUUCUACAAUUUUGAAACAUUCAAGAAUGUCUUGUCAAAACCAGAGAUAUUUUUCACCGGUUUUGAAGACUCUCGAUCGCCUUUUUCCACUGCCAUGCCCUUUGUUUUGCAUCCUCAAAUGACAUUACCUUCUUGGGCGUACAGAUCUUGAAAUUUGAAGGACUUAUAACCUGCACACUCAGGUCAUUAGAAUUGUCAGACCAAAUUAUAUUUCCUUUUACCACUAACUUUGAAGGAUCCACAUAAAUCAAUUUUGGCUUGUUAGUGAGAAUGAGCUGCACUUUCUUGCUUGUCAAUUUCUGUAAUUUUUUCACCAUUGAGAUCAUAAGAACAGAUUCCCCCGGAUCCAAAAAUUGUUGCCAUUUAGAAUCAAAGGAGUCAAUAGAGGCAAGUCUAGUUACAGAACCAGAUGCUUCAGCAGAUGAAGUUCCAACAUUCCCAUCAUUCUGUCUUAUUGAACCAUCCCCAAUAUGUGUAGGGUUCCAUGAAGAAUCAUUAUCAUGCUCACCCUCACCAGACUGUGCCACUUGCUCCAAAGCGAGUUUCGGAGGAGUUUCCCCUCUAAUAUUCUUCCAGUUAACUCCCUUAAAGAAAGGAUGCAUUUUGAGUGAAGCAUAACCAUCAUGUCCAGCACCUGGUCUUCUGCUGGGAUCUAUAUCCAAUAACCGAUCAAUAAUGUUUCUAGCUUCUUCUGAAAAGUAGUUAGGAAAUCUUAAAUCCCGGGCUAUAAUUCUUUGAAAUAUAAGCCAUUCACUUGCAUCUUUGAAAGGAGAAGUUCCUGAAAGCAUCUGGUACAAGGUGCAGCCAAGUGCCCAGAGGUCAUUUCCAAAUGUUACAGGAGAAGAGUUGAGGACUUCUGGAGGGACAUACGCAGCAGUGCCCACAAAUGUGCAAGCUUUAUCGUCUGAGGCUGCAUUAGGAAGAACAGUUAUGCGGCUGUCCUGCAUUGGCUUCACACUCCCAAAAUCAGCAAUUUUAAUAUGUCCAUCCCCUGUAAGCAGUAAGUUCUCCGGCUUGAUAUCUCGAUGUAUUAAUCCCAUAUUAUGUAUGUAUUCAAGAGCAUCCACAACUUCUGCAGCAUAGAAGCGAGCUUCAUCCUCCGAUAAACGGCCUUUUCUGGUUAUUUGGUC
rnacentral:misc_RNA from 1 species